rnacentral:rRNA from 1 species
AGAGUUUGAUUAUGGCUCAGGANNNACGCUGGCGGCGUGCCUAACACAUGCAAGUCGAACGUCUUUUCUGACUUUUCGGAGUGAGAGAGGGAGUGGCGGACGGGUGAGUAUAACAUGGGUGACCUGGCCUGAAGUGAGGGAUACCGGCGAGAAAUCGCCGACAAGCCCGCAUAGGUUCUUUUGUGUAGAAGCAAGAGAGCAAAGGUUUUUCUCGAGAGAGGAGGGCUGCUUUGGGAUGGGCCUGUGGCCGAUUAGCUAGUUGGGGGGGUAAGAGCCUCCCAAGGCGACGAUCGGUAGCUGGUCUGAGAGGACGAUCAGCCACACUGGGAUUGAGAACGGCCCAGACUCCUACGGGGGGCAGCAGUGAGGAAUUUUCCGCAAUGGAGGAAACUCUGACGGAGCAACGCCGCGUGCAGGAGGACGCUUUUCGGAGUGUAAACUGCUUUUCCCAGGGAAGAGCAAGGACGGUACCUGGGGAAGAAGCCCCGGCUAACUACGUGCCAGCAGCCGCGGUAAUACGUAGGGGGCGAGCGUUGUCCGGAGUUACUGGGCGUAAAGGGCAUGCAGGCGGUCGGGCGCGUUUUGUGUGACAGCGGGUGGCUUAACUACCCGAGUAUGCGAAAGACGGUUCGACUUGAGGGCUCGAGAGGGACACGGAAUUCCGGGUGGAGUGGUGAAAUGCGUAGAGAUCCGGAGGAACACCGAAGGCGAAGGCAGUGUCCUGGCGAGUGACUGACGCUGNNNUGCGAAAGCUAGGGGAGCGAACGGG